AUUGAACGCUGGCGGAAUGCUUUACACAUGCAAGUCGAACGGCAGCACGGGGGCAACCCUGGUGGCGAGUGGCGAACGGGUGAGUAAUACAUCGGAACGUGCCCGGUCGUGGGGGAUAACGUAGCGAAAGUUACGCUAAUACUGCAUACGAUCUGAGGAUGAAAGCGGGGGACCUUCGGGCCUCGCGCGAUCGGAGCGGCCGAUGUCAGAUUAGGUAGUUGGUGGGGUAAAGGCCUACCAAGCCGACGAUCUGUAGCUGGUCUGAGCGGACGACCGGCCACACGGGGACUGAGACACGGCCCAGACUCCUACGGGAGGCAGCAGUGGGGAAGUUUGGACAAUGGGCGCAAGCCUGAUCCAGCCAUUCCGCGUGCAGGACGAAGGCCUUCGGGUUGUAAACUGCUUUUGUAUGGAACGAAAAGGCUCUGGCUAAUACCUGGGGCUCAUGACGGUACCGUAAGAAUAAGCACCGGCUAACUACGUG
rnacentral:rRNA from 1 species